UCCGAUGGUGAACCUGCGGAGGGAUCAUUACACAAAUAUGUAAGGCGGGCUGGAACCUCUCGGGGUUACAGCCUUGCUGAAUUAUUCACCCUUGUCUUUUGCGUACUUCUKGUUUCCUUGGUGGGUUCGCCCACCACUAGGACAAACAUAAACCUUUUGUAAUUGCAAUCAGCGUCAGUAACAAAUUAAUAAUUACAACUUUCAACAACGGAUCUCUUGGUUCUGGCAUCGAUGAAGAACGCAGCGAAAUGCGAUAAGUAGUGUGAAUUGCAGAAUUCAGUGAAUCAUCGAAUCUUUGAACGCACAUUGCGCCCUUUGGUAUUCCAAAGGGCAUGCCUGUUCGAGCGUCAUUUGUACCCUCAAGCUUUGCUUGGUGUUGGGCGUCUUGUCUCUAGCUUUGCUGGAGACUCGCCUUAAAGUAAUUGGCAGCCGGCCUACUGGUUUCGGAGCGCAGCACAAGUCGCACUCUCUAUCAGCAAAGGUCUAGCAUCCAUUAAGCCUUUUUUUCAACUUUUGACCUCGGAUCAGGUAGGGAUACCCGCUGAACUUAAGCAUAUCAAUAAGCGGAGGAA
rnacentral:rRNA from 1 species